UAAUACGGAGGAUGCGAGCGUUAUCCGGAUUUAUUGGGUUUAAAGGGUGCGUAGGCUGUUAUAUAAGUCAGUGGUGAAAUAUUCGGGCUCAACCGGGAUACUGCCAUUGAUACUGUAUAGCUGGAAUAUGGUUGCUGUGGGUGGAAUGUGUGGUGUAGCGGUGAAAUGCAUAGAUAUCACACAGAAUAUCGAUUGCGAAGGCAACUCACAAAGCCAUUAUUGACGCUGAUGCACGAAAGUGUGGGGAUCAAACAGGAUUAGAUACCCUGGUAGUCCACACUGUAAACGAUGAUAACUAGCUGUCGGCGAUAGAUAGUCGGUGGCUAAGCGAAAGCGAUAAGUUAUCCACCUGGGGAGUACGACCGCAAGGUUGAAACUCAAAGGAAUUGACGGGGGCCCGCACAAGCGGAGGAACAUGUGGUUUAAUUCGAUGAUACGCGAGGAACCUUACCCGGGCUCGAACGGUGCAGGAAUAUGGUAGAGAUAUCAUAGCUAGCAAUAGUCUGUAUCGAGGUGCUGCAUGGUUGUCGUCAGCUCGUGCCGUGAGGUGUCGGCUUAAGUGCCAUAACGAGCGCAACCCUUGUCGUUAGUUACCAUCAAGUAAAGUUGGGGACUCUAGCGAGACUGCCACCGUAAGGUGUGAGGAAGGGGGGGAUGACGUCAAAUCAGCACGGCCCUUACGUCCGGGGCGACACACGUGUUACAAUGGUAGGUACAGAGGGGCGCUAUCCAGUGAUGGAGUGCGAAUCUCAAAAACCUAUCUCAGUUCGGAUUGGAGUCUGCAACUCGACUCCAUGAAGUUGGAUUCGCUAGUAAUCGCGCAUCAGCCAUGGCGCGGUGAAUACGUUCCCGGGNCUUGUACACACCGCCCGUCAAGCCAUGGAAGCCGGGGGUGCCUGA
rnacentral:rRNA from 1 species